UCUCGUUGAUUACGUCCCUGCCCUUUGUACACACCGCCCGUCGCUACUACCGAUUGAAUGGCUUAGUGAGGUCUCCGGAUUGGCUUUGGGGAGCCGGCAACGGCACCCUAUUGCUGAGAA
rnacentral:rRNA from 1 species